UACGGGGGGGGCAAGCGUUGUUCGGAAUUACUGGGCGUAAAGGGCUCGUAGGCGGCCAACUAAGUCAGACGUGAAAUCCCUCGGCUUAACCGGGGAACUGCAUCUGAUACUGGAUGGCUUGAGUUCGGGAGAGGGAUGCGGAAUUCCAGGUGUAGCGGUGAAAUGCGUAGAUAUCUGGAAGAACACCGGUGGCGAAGGCGGCAUCCUGGACCGGCACUGACGCUGAGGAGCGAAGGCUAGGGGAGCGAACGGG
rnacentral:rRNA from 1 species